AGGGAUCAUUACCGAGUUUACAACUCCCAAACCCCUGUGAACAUACCUAUACGUUGCCUCGGCGGAUCAGCCCGCGCCCCGUAAAACGGGACGGCCCGCCCGAGGACCCCUAAACUCUGUUUUUAGUGGAACUUCUGAGUAAAACAAACAAAUAAAUCAAAACUUUCAACAACGGAUCUCUUGGUUCUGGCAUCGAUGAAGAACGCAGCAAAAUGCGAUAAGUAAUGUGAAUCGCAGAAUUCAGUGAAUCAUCGAAUCUUUGAACGCACAUUGCGCCCGCCAGUAUUCUGGCGGGCAUGCCUGUUCGAGCGUCAUUUCAACCCUCAAGCUCAGCUUGGUGUUGGGACUCGCGGUAACCCGCGUUCCCCAAAUCGAUUGGCGGUCACGUCGAGCUUCCAUAGCGUAGUAAUCAUACACCUCGUUACUGGUAAUCGUCGCGGCCACGCCGUUAAACCCCAACUUCUGAAUGUUGACCUCGGAUCAGGUAGGAAUACCCGCUGAACUUAA
rnacentral:rRNA from 1 species